UCAUCCCAGUCACAGAACCUCAGGGUAACAUUGUUCUUUCUUUUACCUUCAACGGUGAAGGGUAGGAAAUGAAAAGGGGGGCAGAAAACAGAAAUGAAGACAGAGAUGGAGAAAACUGACCAAACUUGGGGGAGAAGAAAAGUGCAUGGUGCUGGAGAGCCCUAAAAGAUUGCCCUGUCCAACCUUCUUUCUGAACAUGAACAAAGUGGCCUGUCUGGAAACACUGUCUCCUAACAUCUGGGAGGGAUCUUUGUAAGAUCAACAAUACAGAACUCUUAGGAGUGACCCAGAGAAGGCACAUGGCCAGGCUGCAAAGCUGGGCCUUUGCUUUGG
rnacentral:lncRNA from 1 species